GACAGAGGUGCCGAGCGUUAGGCGGAAUCACUGGGCUUAAAGCGUGUGUAGGCGGACGGGUAAGUACCUUGUGAAAUCCCACGGCUCAACCGUGGAACUGCUGGGUAUACUGCCUGUCUUGAGUCAUCUAGGGGCGAGCGGAACAAAUGGUGGAGCGGUGAAAUGCGUAGAUAUCAAGAGGAACACCUGAGGUGAAGACGGGUUGCUGGGCUGACACUGACGCUGAGGCGCGAAAGCUAGGGUAGCAAACGGG
rnacentral:rRNA from 1 species